CUACAGUUUUAAUGUCGCUGCAAAUUCAGCGACACGGGUUUGAACGCCCGGAAA
rnacentral:ncRNA from 1 species